AUAGUGGCGGACGGGUGAGGAAUACGUAGGGAUCUGCCCUUAAGUGGGGGAUAACCCGGGGAAACCCGGAUUAAUACCGCAUGAUCUCGCAAGAGCAAAGAGGGGGACCGCAAGGCCUCUCGCUUUUGGAGGAACCUACGUCGGAUUAGCUAGUUGGUGAGGUAACGGCUCACCAAGGCGACGAUCCGUAACUGGUCUGAGAGGAUGAUCAGUCACACCGGAACUGAGACACGGUCCGGACUCCUACGGGAGGCAGCAGUGGGGAAUAUUGGACAAUGGGCGAAAGCCUGAUCCAGCAAUACCGCGUGUGUGAAGAAGGCCUUCGGGUUGUAAAGCACUUUAAGUUGGGAAGAAAAAGCUUCACCUAAUACGUGGAGCCUUGACGGUACCGACAGAAUAAGCACCGGCUAACUCUGUGCCAGCAGCCGCGGUAAUACAGAGGGUGCUAGCGUUAAUCGGAUUUACUGGGCGUAAAGCGUGCGUAGGCGGUUUGAUAAGUCGAUUGUGAAAGCCCCGGGCUCAACCUGGGAAUUGCGGUCGAUACUGUCAGACUCGAAAACGGUAGAGGGAGGCGGAACUCCAGGUGUAGCGGUGAAAUGCGUAGAUAUCUGGAAGAACACCGAUGGCGAAGGCAACCUCCUGGGCCUGUUUUGACGCUGAGGCACGAAAGCGUGGGUAGCAAACAGGAUUAGAUACCCUGGUAGUCCACGCCGUAAACGAUGAGAACUUGACGUUGGUUUGCUUAGCAAAUCGGUGUCGUAGCUAACGCGAUAAGUUCUCCGCCUGGGGAGUACGGCCGCAAGGUUGAAACUCAAAGGAAUUGACGGGGGCCCGCACAAGCGGUGGAGUAUGUGGUUUAAUUCGAUGCAACGCGAAGAACCUUACCUGGUCUUGACAUGUCAAGGAGUCUGCAGAGAUGCGGAUGUGCCUUCGG
rnacentral:rRNA from 1 species